rnacentral:rRNA from 1 species
CACCGCGGUUAUACGAGUGUGCUCAAGCUGAUGUUUCACGGCGUAAAGCGUGAUUAAAAAACAAAUAAGAUAAGGCUAAACGCCCCCCAAGCUGUUAUACGCUAACAGGAUAAGGAAAACCCAAAACGAAAGUAGCCUUAGUUACCAUUGAACUCACGACAGUUGAGAAA